AUUCCAGAAGAGAAUCCUAGCUCAUUUCUCACAGCAUCUGGAAAAUUCUAGCCCUCCCAGCUCCAGCCGGUUUGCUCCCACACCUGGCUCUGCAGAUGAACGAGUCAAGAUUAUUCCAAGCUCAGCAGUGGUAAACAGCCAGGGAUUUCUUUCUGAAUUCACCGGAGAGCCCAAACUGCCGCCACCAAUUGCUGUUUCAGUUUCCUCCGAAGAUUAUGUUAUGUAUCUGCCCCUCCCCUGCCUCCUCCAGCCAAGAGGGGACUAUAUGAACAAUGAGAUAUUGUGCUCUGGUAAGCAUAUACCUCCUUAGACUGGUCUGCAAUUAGAAUUUCAAAGCUUCGCACCUCAACCCACCAUCUCUGGGGUUCAUGGACCAUAAUCCUCUUUAAAUUUGAAACCAUGCCCUGGUGCAAAACCAUCUGCACCUCCCUUUUUCUCAAAUACCCCGAACGCCAUUCCUGGAUAUCUAAAAGCAAAUAGAGUCUGGCGUGGGCAAAGCUGAAAGGCUGGGUUUCUUUACAGGGAACUACCCAGAAAUACACACUUAUCCUCUCCAAAGCCAGAAAAAGACACGUGCACACAGACUCGAGCUUCUGUGAACCCGGCUUAUAUAAAGCAAGCGCCGUCUACGCUGUCGUCAUUAUAAUCCCCCUCAAAGACUGUUUAUUACCCUAGGCCUCUCUCAUUCUGCUAAGCACUGUCCAGAGCAGCAAGCUACUCAGCCUGCAAGGAUGCUUUGUGUCCUGGAAGUGAAGCACCAAGAACAGGACAAGCUUGUUCCUAUGGACACCAUUAGCACUGCUGACCACCGUCACCUGGGAAUUGACUCCGAGUCAUAUUUCUACUCACAAGGCUCGCUCUCCCAUCUACUUUGGAACCAAAGAAGCUUGCUUGCAAGAGGACUGACAGCGAUCCAAACCUAGGGAGUGGGAGGUGAGCAGCCAAAGGUGCUCUCUAAGCCUGGAACCCCAUUGCUGCUCUGAGCCACAACUUCAGCCAACCACCGCACUCAUCCAAUCUCUCCUGGAACCAGCAAAGGCAAAAUGCUUCAAGUUCCUGGAACUCGAGUUUCUCCACUCUGUCCCUGGCCUUGUUUUCUCGUGUGUCAAAUUAGGGUAAUCAGAUUGUUAGAAGAAAUGGGAAAAGAUUCGGCUAAAGGUGUUGACACAGAGUGAAUUCUCUUUGAACAUUUCUUGUGUGAAGCGUGGCUAUAAAUGCAUCGCCUGUCAUCCUACAACUCAGAUAUCUCUAAAUUAGUUACCUGGAUACCUGGAUGAUGGAAGGAGGUGAGGGGAAGGAAGGACUACUCUAUAACCUCCAGAAUCUGGGAUCUCAGAUGUAGGAGUAAGUAGUGUUUGGAAGAUUUGCUUACUCUUGUAAGAGGACAGACCCCAUAGUGAUCAGUCUGGAUUUUGGAAAUUAAGUGAACAAGAAUGCCAAGUAGGAUCAAUUCCAGUCAGGAUCAGAAACAAAUCACUGAGGCCCACCAUGAGAUGGUCCAGAGAGUUAAGGCCUUGCCACCAACUCUGACAACCUGGGUUCAAUCCAUGGAACCCAUGGUAAGAGGAGAGAACAGCAUCCUCAAACUGUCCUCUGACCACAUACACACAUGGCACAUACGUACCUAGACACAGACACACACACACACAUACACACACACACACACACACAUACACACACACACACACACACAUACACACACACACAUACACACACACACACACACACACACACACACACACAAGUGAGUUCUUAGAACCAAAGCUCUUAUAAAGAAGGAUGUUUUAAGCUGGGUAACUUCUAAUGAUCCCAUUCCCAGAAAGGAGCGUUGAUUUAUGUAAGAGUGGAUUUUCAAAUGCAAAUGACAUGGGCUCACAUCGCUGCCACAUAUCAGCUAUCGGACCUUAUUAAAGUGAUUUACUUCUCUGAGUUUUGGGACAGACACACACACACACAUACACACAGGACACAACACAAUGAUAGGGUCCAUCUACAAGAAUGAACAAGCUAAGAAAUAUAAAGUACUUAACAGGGCCUAAGACAUCCUAAGUCGGGCCGGGCGUGGUGGCGCAUGCCUUUAAUCCCAGCACUUGGGAGGCAGAGGCAGGUGGAUUUCUGAGUUCGAGGCCAGCCUGGUCUACAGAGUGAGUUCCAGGACAGCCAGGGCUACACAGAGAAACCCUGUCUCGAAAAACCAAAAAAAAAAAAAAGACAUCCUAAGUCGAAGCCAUAUUUCCAAUAUUAUAAUGGGAACUUGAAACCUGUAUAUGGAGAUAGAAAUUCUGAUAUUUCUAGCUUAUGUUCCCCUUUUGAACCCUCAUGGCAAAUUCGUAUGUAAGUUUUAAUUAUCUAAUGUUUACCACAGAGAAAACCAAGACUGGAGGACAGGCCAGGACCCUUCUACCCGAGCGCCUAUCCUUAGCCAGUCACUGCACUAGUGGUAUGCACACACUGACUGAAACCACCACUUAGUCCUGAGGUGCAGCCACCACAGCAACAGGAGUGGCAACACAAUGAAAUCAAACUGCAAGUUUUUACGCUUGAGCCUGAAAGGCCUGCAAAAUUGGUCUCUUUUGCUGUAUGGAGCUAGAUAGUGAUGCUAUCCUGGAUACUGUAUUUCCCAUCACAGGUAACCAAGGAAACCUUAUGCAUUUCACUUGUUAACUCAUAGAUUUGUUUUCUAUCAGCUUCUACAGGAAGGGAAAGUCCUUCCCGGGCAGCAGUGAUGUAUCUGACUCUAUGUGUUAUUCCAUUAGGCUCGUGUUACCACACUCUCCUCGAAAGAAAGGCGGUUUUUUCCAUGUUCUUUGUACGAGUGUUUCCCAAGUGCACUUAUACAAUUUCAUGUAAUAUAUUCUUAAAGCCUG